ACUGCUGUGGUGGAGCCCAGGGCUAUUCCCCCACUUCCCGGGAGACUCGGAGCGCAUCGAGUGUGCGCGCGGCGCGUGCGUGGCGUCCCGGAACCGCCGAGCGCUGAGGGACUCGCGGACGCGCGCGCUGCUCUUCUACGGCACAGACUUCCGCGCGUCGGCCGCCCCGCUGCCGCGCCUGGCGCACCAGAGCUGGGCGCUCCUCCACGAGGAGUCGCCCCUCAACAACUUCUUCCUGAGCCACGGCCCGGGCAUCCGCCUCUUCAAUCUUACCUCCACCUUCAGUCGCCACUCGGAUUACCCGCUGUCGCUGCAGUGGCUGCCCGGGACCGCCUAUCUGCGCCGCCCGGUGCCUCCGCCCCUGGAACGCGCGGAGUGGCGCCGCCGCGGCUACGCGCCGCUGCUCUAUCUGCAGUCACACUGCGACGUGCCCGCGGACCGGGACCGCUACGUGCGCGAGCUCAUGCGCCACAUCCCGACUCCUACGGGAAAUGCCUGCAGAAUCGGGAGCUGCCUACCGCGCGGCUACAGGACACAGCCACAGCCACCACCGAGGAUCCAGAGCUCUUGGCUUUCUUGUCCCGCUAUAAGUUCCACUUGGCCCUGGAAAAUGCCAUCUGUAACGACUACAUGACAGAAAAACUGUGGCGUCCCAUGCACCUGGGCGCUGUGCCCGUGUACCGCGGUUCUCCCUCUGUGAGGGACUGGAUGCCGAACAAUCACUCCGUCAUCCUGAUUGAUGAUUUUGAGUCUCCUCAGAAGCUGGCAGAGUUUAUUGACUUUCUGGACAAGAAUGAUGAGGAGUAUAUGAAAUACCUGGCAUACAAGCAACCUGGGGGCAUCACCAACCAAUUUCUUCUGGAUAGUCUGAAGCAUCGGGAGUGGGGAGUGAAUGAUCCUUUGCUGCCUAACUACCUCAACGGCUUCGAGUGUUUCGUCUGUGACUACGAACUGGCUCGGCUGGAUGCCGAGAAAGCCCACGCGGCCUCUCCCGGGGACAGCCCCGUCUUUGAGCCCCACAUUGCCCAGCCCUCACACAUGGACUGCCCAGUGCCCACCCCUGGCUUUGGCAAUGUGGAAGAGAUUCCUGAGAAUGACAGGUAAGAGUGCUGGGGUCCCCUGCAGCCAUCAAAUCAUUACUUGUUUACUGUGGGCAAUUAAGUAGCACUAGGUGCUGAGCAGGUGCAGGAGGAAAUUAUCACAUGGGCUCACUCUGUAUUUAAGGUGUCAACAGUCUAGUUGGGGGGAUAAGACAAGCUGAAAAAGCUGAAUAGAUGUAAAAUAUAAUUCAAGGCAACGUAUGAAAAUCAGCUUAUGUGAACAAUCUUUCCAGUAGUGGUUCAAAAAGAUUGAACCAGAGUACAGGGCCUGUGCAGACAGGGGAGAGAGAAAAUGGGGCAAAUAAAUAGGGACAACGCUAUAAAUAUCAUUAAUACCAGGCUCAGGAGUUUGCACUGCACUAAAAAUCAACUCAGCUAUUUGAGCACCUUUUAUAGAGUGGAAAUGGGGGUGGGCAGUAGAGAAGAGCACUUUUAGAGAGGCUUUUCUGCAAUAGUCAGGGGUUACACCUGUUAACCAGCCAUAAUUUUUUAAGCGGCUGUGCUGAGGAUGAGCCCCAUGUAGUUGGUGCAUGUGGGGACACACUGCCUGUGUAACUAGAAAAACUAGGCAUGGCCGGGCACGGUGGCUCACACCUGUAAUCCCAGCACUUUGGGAGGUCAAGGGGGGAGGAACAUUUGAGGCCAGAGACAAUAUAAUAUAUAAUAUAAUAUAUUGACCAGCCUGGACAAUAUAAUAAGACCCUCUCUGUACAAUUUAAAAACUAAAAGCCUGGGGUGGUGGCACAUGCCUGUAGUCCUGGCUACUUGGGAGGCUGUGGCGGGUGGAUUGCUUGAACCUAGGAGUUCAAUGCUGUAGUGAGCUAGGAUCGUGCCACUGCAUUCCAGCCUGGGUUGGAGUAAGACCCUGUCACACACACACACACAAAACAAUGCACAAUGUGCAUCAGAAGGGAAGCGAAUAGGCUACUGUAGUAGGUGGCAAAAGGUGGUGGUACUGGGAAACAAGGCCAGCGUGUGGUGUGGGGUGGGAAAAUGUUGAAACCACUUGUAGCAAGCCACACCUAUUGGGGGAGAGGUGAUAAGAUUAUUAAGCUGAAGUAAGGCUGCUAGAAUGGCCUAUAGAAACCGACUUGGACAGUGGAUGGCAGCAGAAGGCCAUUUAUUAACAGAUGCUGCUGGCAGUUUUGUCCCGAUGGUUGGAAUCCUUCACCAAGUAAUUUGUAUCUAAUUACAAAUUGUUUGUAUCUGAACAUAAUAUGAUUUACUAGAGGAAAAGUAUGAAAAAAUAUGAAACAUUAAGAAAAUAAAUAUUCAGGUUAUGUCUUUUCUAGAU
rnacentral:sRNA from 1 species